UGGGGAAUAUUGGACAAUGGGGGCAACCCUGAUCCAGCAAUGCCGCGUGUGUGAAGAAGGUCUUCGGAUUGUAAAGCACUUUCGACGGGGACGAUGAUGACGGUACCCGUAGAAGAAGCCCCGGCUAACUUCGUGCCAGCAGCCGCGGUAAUACGAAGGGGGCUAGCGUUGCUCGGAAUGACUGGGCGUAAAGGGCGUGUAGGCGGUUUACACAGUCAGAUGUGAAAUCCCCGGGCUUAACCUGGGAGCUGCAUUUGAUACGUGUAGACUAGAGUGUGAGAGAGGGUUGUGGAAUUCCCAGUGUAGAGGUGAAAUUCGUAGAUAUUGGGAAGAACACCGGUGGCGAAGGCGGCAACCUGGCUCAUGACUGACGCUGAGGCGCGAAAGCGUGGGGAGCAAACAGGAUUAGAUACCCUGGUAGUCCACGCUGUAAACGAUGUGUGCUAGAUGUUGGGUAACUUUGUUAUUCAGUGUCGCAGUUAACGCG
rnacentral:rRNA from 1 species